rnacentral:rRNA from 1 species
CGCGCAGGCGGCUGUCUACGUCCGGGGUGAAAACCCAGAGCUCAACUCUGGGACUGCCUUGGAUACGGGAUGGCUUGAGGAUCGGAGAGGCAAGGGGAAUUCCACGUGUAGCGGUGAAAUGCGUAGAGAUGUGGAGGAACACCUGUGGCGAAGGCGCCUUGCUGGCCGAUUUCUGACGCUGAGGCGCGAAAGCGUGGGGAGCAAACA